rnacentral:lncRNA from 1 species
GAUGCCAGCCAUGGCAGCAGGAGUCCCAGCAAGGGGGUAAUCUCCCUCACUGGGGCUCUCAACAACUAUACGAUUGAAGAAACAAAGUCACACUACAAGACAACCAGAGUCAAGCUUUCAUCUGCACUCUGCUCCAAUGUCCCCUGGCUAAGAUCAUAGGAACAGAAAGGGACCAUGUCUAACCAGGCACGAUGUGCUAAGAAACUUUACCUUCUUCCUGAGUAACCUGAGAGAUGUUGGACUUCUAACCAAACUCUCUAGACUCCAGCUUUUACAAAGUGGCCUGUGGUGGCCAUGCUGCUACCCGAGACUCUGUGGAUUCCACCUUGUUGAAUCACAGUUCUGGCUGGCCUCACCUCCGGGGCUUUACACAGCAUAGCCUGGCUGGGGUCCAGUGUAGAUUCUGAAGCAGAGCCCAGUGGGACCCACACUUUACAAAGGGUGACCCGUGCCCUCACUUGCAUGCCCCCAAGGGCUGACCAUCAUAUUUCCAGCAUGAAGAGAGUAGCCGCAGGAUGGGACACCCAAGUCAAUUCAUCUCAUUAGAUUCUUCCCUGAACACUAGAGUUCCCAGAACUCCCUAAAGUAUAGUUACUCCAAACACAGUGUCCCAAGAAAAACCCAUUUGUGGGAAUUACAUAGCCUUCACUUAAUAAAAUCUCACCUUUGCGUGCAAGAUUC